UUAUGCCCCUCCCCGACUCAUGCAGGCACUCUCUCUCUCAAAAUAAAUACGUAAAUUUAAAAAUUUUUAAAAACUCUGAGUUCUUAAGUUAAGGCUUUAAAAUUAAAACUAAACACAUAUUGGUUAGGAGAGUUUAGGUACGUGAAGAUAUAGAUGUCAACAAGUCCGAGCAUUUCUUAGUUCCAUGACUGAAAACAUGUCCCUGACCUUCACUGCCAGACAGGUCCUGCAUUAUCCCCAUUAUCCCCACUCAAGUCUGACACCAGUGAAAGAACAUGAGAAUGCAAAGUGGGCCCUCGCUAGGAAGGCAAUGUCUUCUAAUUCCUGGCAAUCAUCCUUGAAGUUCAAGUUAGCCAGCAAUUACUGAGUUUGGGAAACAUGGAGAAGAAUGAUACCAAUUUUUAACUUACUAGCAACUGUCUCUUUCAGUUGGGUACCAAAGCCGUGGGUGAUCAUGCGGAGCUCUCCCUACCUGUGCUGUGCUCGCUCACUCUUCUGGAUCAGCAGGAUGUAGUCAUUCAGGCUGAGGAGUGAGGAAGGGGUACAAGUUGGAACUGGUUAACCCUUAAAUAGCAUGAAACGAGUUAAAGAGACAGACCCUUCCUCAAGGAGACGUGCAUUAAAUCAACAAGUGGAAAGUCACGGACGGCUUUAUCACCUCGAAGGAUGGGCAUUUCUGGUUCCACCUACUGUUCCAGCAUCAUGCUGAGCCAACUUGUGGGCUGAGAUGAGCGCUCGGAUGAGAACUCCAAGCAGACUUCUCGACACAUGCCUGUCAAGUUUGCAACCAGUCAGAUAUGGAAUUGUGUUUUCCCAGACAGAAGUGGAAAGUUACUCCUACCUCAUAGAAUUGUGUGCUGACGUGUUCCACAAAAUUCCUGAACAUCAAGUUACACACCAGAGAAGUACGUCAGGCUGGAUGUGCUUUGCCUGUGGAGGAAAUGGAAGACAGAUUGAGCUGGCUGCUCCAAGAAGCCAAGAUGUGUGACUUGACUACUCCGCUGUGCAGAAGGCCAUGCGACCUGGAGCCAGCAGACUGGUCCUAGUCUAAAACACUCUGCUAACGGCAGCCUAGGUAUAUUGCAAUGCUCCCUUAAGAACUUCUGCUCAUCCUUACUCAGAGUAACACAGCCAAAACUGUAUUCCAGAUCCACUUUUUCCAGUGUUCCAGUAAUGAGAUGUUCUUCGUACAUGAGUCCCAGGCCCAAAGGGACAAUUACUUUUCAUCUGGAUUCAUAAGGCCCUAACGAUGCUGACAUCAAGCACCAUAUUGUUAGUUCUGUGCAGUCUAUAUACAUUUUUUAAGUCACAUUUUCCUGAUUAUAUGACCUUGAGCAAAUUAAUUAAACUCUGGACCUCUGUAUACUUUUCUGUAAAACAGAUUUAAUGUGCAUUACUUCACGAUUGUUGUGAAUAUUAAGUAAAUUUACCAAUAUAAAGUGCUUUGCACAGUUCCUGGCACAUGGUAGGUGUUGAACAAAGAUGAGCCUUUCAUUAUUAUUGCUAGAAAUAUGUGGCUGCCUCCGUUGACUUGACUCCAGAGGCUGAUGACCUCCCUCCCCUUUGUCUAAAAAUAUUUCAGAUGCCACUUUAGCAGUUAGAGAUUCAUCUCUCCGGGUUGUCAAAUAAUCUCUUCUGUAAUGUAGAAAAUUCUAGUUCAGAAAUAUGAAAUACUACCUAAUGGUCAUUUAAACCUUUUCGAAAAUAGUUUUCCAACUAGAUCAUUUCCUUCUAAUAUAUUUUAUUGCAAAGAAGGAUGCAAUUAACCAAUGGACUCGAGAGAGAUGCAGACUUGCAGAACUGACAUGGUGGUAGGCUGAUGAUGCCUAAUUCUCCAGACUCACCAGGCAGAUGAGCUUGUCUCCUCAGAGAUACUCAGAGCUCCAAAAUCUGAGGAACAGGUGCCUCCCUAUCAGGUACAUGGAUUUUUUCUGCCAUCUAGCGGUCAACUUUUGAGGACAACUGCCUUUAAGUGAGCUAAGGAGGCAUUGUCCCACCCUGGACAGUGCACAAGAACCUGACUGGCUUCUAGGAGUUUGACUGUUUUACGUACCUUAUAUAAGCGGAAUCAUGAUUUCACAGGUGUGCAUAUAUGCCCAAACUCAUUUAAUCUUACACAUUAAAUAUGUGCAGGUUUUGUGUAUCAGUUAUAUACUUUAAUAAAGUUACGUAAGUAACAACUCCUGGGCAUCGUCUUCGGCUUGCACUUUCCAGGGACUGAGAUCCUGUAUGAGAUGGAAAGAAACACAAAGGCCUAGAUCUUCAGGGAGGUUAGAGCUCCACACUGGCUGUCUCCAGAGCAAUACCUUAGCCACCUGUUCUUUGGGUGGCCUCAGGCUUGCCACUUCCCUCUCCCAACCCACCUUCUCAUCUAUCAGGUGGGUCACACUAUGGAUUCCUGCUAGCUCUGAUAUUUUGGUGUUCCAGUGUCUCUCAGAUUGCAAAUAUUUGUUUAAAGAAGCUUAUCUAUACUUCAUUAAUAAAACUAAACUGAGGAGAAAGUAUAACAUUAAACAGUUAACUAAUUUAGCAUUACUUAGGACAACUCAGUAAUAAGGUGGGUAGGUAUAAAGUUUCCGGCAUCAUCUUCCUCUUGGAGAAGCUCCUUCUUAAUUUCUGUGUAAAGCCUCUUAACUAUUGAUUCAUUUACUCUAUAGUCUGUAGAAUGCAAAGAGCACUGAGUAGGUGGCUUGUUUUUAAUAUUCAGAUAUUUUUUGAUGAAUGCUAGAAAGGCUGAUCACACCAAUAAUACACGUUUAUUCAUUUGUUGGAUUUAUUUAACCUAGAAUUUUCCAUUUGCCAAGACAUAGCACUGGCUUAAUCCCUUCCAAAAAUGACUACCAUACGUUUUGUAACAUUCUACCAACUUCCAAAGGGUCUCCUUUUCCCUUCAUCAUUAUUCUAUUCAAUAAUUAAGAGACCGGAUGGGGUCCUUGGGUGGCUCAGUCAGUUUAGCAUCAGACUUCAGCUCAGGUUGUGAUCUCACAGUUUGUUAAGUUCGAGAGACU